rnacentral:lncRNA from 1 species
UCAACCAUCAAUUUUUUCCCUUCCGAAGUCACUUCUUUUAAUCCUCUUAAUUACUGUUCCUUCUCUUCCUUUUUCCUCACAUACGUUACAUAGACAGUGUUACAUAGAUGUCCCCAAAACCAGAUUCUGAAUCAAGAGAGAGGCAGAGGCGAUCUUUUUAGUAGAACAGGUUUCAGCAACGUUCGAGGGUGAAAGGAACGACGAAGAUAGGCAAACAGAACUGGGGUAACGAUUUUGUUCUUUAGUUAGAAAGAAAGAGGCUGACAAUUAGGGUUUUAUAUUUUUCUUAUUUUCUUCUUGUUUGUCCGUCAAACGGUUAAAACAAUGAAAAUGCUCAUGUACAAAUUUUUCACAUGAAUUUGGUAGAUUUUGCACGGCAGCGAAAGUUUUUUUCCAUUGAAUGCUUUUGGGUUUAUGUAAGAUUUUAUACAUUAUAUAUUUUGGGCUUUUUGUAAUAACAAGUAUAAUAUUCACGAAUAAUCGGAUAAAGAUUAAAACGGAAGAGAUCCUCUAUGAAUUCCAAUAUCUAUUAUGUAGGUAAUUCCAUACCAUGAAUUUCACUAUUACCUAUGGGAAUUUAGCCACAAAGAUGGAGGCAUGUUGUUCAGUGGAGAAACCAAAUAGAUGAAAUGUCUCUUUGACGUAUUUAUCAGUACUUAUUGGAAGAAUGGAUAAUUUUUGUUGGUUAUGACAUCAAUUUAAUGAUCUGUUAAUUAAGCCCGUUGAUUAUCCUGUAAAUAGUCACGCAUUGCUGAAAAAUAAUGUCUCUAUGUAGCAGUUAUUCAUUGAUUGAGAGUUGUUUUUUUGUUCUUGGUCUGGAUAGCUUCUACUGCAAAGAAACGAGGUGCUAAAUCUGCCGAGGUGUGUUCUCAAGUCAGGUUUAGGAUCAUCUCAUGUAUAUCUCUUAUCAGCUCCUUUUAUUUUGCUGUUGUAUUUUUAUCAUAUUUAUGCUUGUGCGUUGCUGAAUAUUGAGCUUUGCAAUGAAGGAUUCAGUUUUGGUGCUUUAUCAUAUCUAUUCUGCAACAGGUAAGAUUUUCAUUCUUCUUAUUUUGUUGAUAUUGUAGUAGUUCUAAACUUCACGACCACUGGUGAUUUUCAAUAAAUUUUUUACGGUCCAGAAAUAGCUCGCCGGAUGUAAAAUGUUGUGUGACUUUAGAUGAAGAAGUUAGAAGACAAAAGUAUAUAAAACAAUUUAUCCACCUCUCCUAAUGAUAUAUACAACAAAGCUCUACUUACAUGUGGCAGAUUGUACUCAGGCUUCCGUCAUUUAUUCUUGCUGGGGAGAAAAGGCUGCCAGAGUUUUGUUUCAAAACCACGAUGUUAAGAGUUUUUCAUGUUUUCCUACGAGAUUGAUAAAGUUAAGAUUCGGCUAGAACCUUAUUCUUCUUUUUUAAUUUUUGCAGUACAAGCAUACACAUGUUAACAACUUUGAGAAGAGUAGAUUGGCUAAGUAGAGCACUGGAAGCCAACUUUACGUUAAGAACUUAGAAUAUAGAGUUUCUGAAGUGUGCAUAAAUAGUAUACUACAUGUAUAUAUAAGAUCAUUUGGUUUUGUUUAAGAGAAAAAUGGGGAUAACAUUUCUCGCUAUGAAGAUGUCAUUUUAAUGAAUUAUCGUCCGCCUGAAUAUUUAGAGUCGGGAAAAACUUGUCAUUAUCCUUUCAUAUUCCUG